UACCAGCACCCCGAGUGGUCGGGACGUUUAUUGGGCCUAAAGCAUCCGUAGCCGGCCUUACAAGUCCCCCGUUAAAUCCAACUGCUUAACAGAUGGGCUGCGGAGGAUACUAUAAGACUAGGAGGCAGGAGAGGCAAGCGGUACUCAGUGGGUAGGGGUAAAAUGCGUAGAUAUCUGGAGGAACACCGGUGGCGAAGGCGGCAUCCUGGACCAUUACUGACACUGAGAAGCGAAAGCCAGGGGAGCAAACGGG
rnacentral:rRNA from 1 species